GGGCCCGCACAAGCGGUGGAGCAUGUGGCUUAAUUCGAGGCAACGCGAAGAACCUUACCUGGUCUUGACAUGCCCGUCAUAGUUUUCCGAAAGGAAUUCGUCAGUUCGGCUGGACGGUGCACAGGUGCUGCAUGGCUGUCGUCAGCUCGUGUCGUGAGAUGUUCGGUUAAGUCCGGCAACGAGCGCAACCCUCGUUCCUAGUUGCCAGCGGGUAAUGCCGGGGACUCUAGGAAGACAAACCUCGUGUAGAGGUGGGAAGGUGGGGACGACGUCAAGUCAGUAUGGCCCUUACGACCAGGGCUGCACACGUGCUACAAUGCCCAGCACAAUGGGAUGCAACGCCGCGAGGUUGAGCAAAUCCACAAAACUGGGCCCAGUUCGGAUUGGAGUCUGCAACUCGACUCCGUGAAGUCGGAAUUGCUAGUAAUCGC
rnacentral:rRNA from 1 species